UGAAAGCAUCUAAGCACGAAACUUGCCCCGAGAUGAGUUCUCCCUGAGACCUAGAGUCUCCUGAAGGAACGUUGAAGACGACGACGUUGAUAGGCCGGGUGUGUAAGCGCAGCGAUGCGUUGAGCUAACCGGUACUAAUGAACCGUGAGGCUUAACCUUACAACGCCGAAG
rnacentral:rRNA from 1 species